AUCGUGAUCUCUAAACUCUAGUAGAAUCUAAUCAUCCCCUCAUUCUUCUUCUUCUUCUCCUUCUCCUCCUCCUUCUUUUCAGGCGAAAUCUGUUCAUAUGAGUUUGUAAUUGUAACCUGUCAGUGUUAGCUAGGGUUUACUAGUAGAAGGUAUCAUCUUCAUUCUUCAGACGAAAUAAACAAGUGAACAUCUAAUUUCUUUUAAGAGGAUUAAGUUGAUUUCUUUGAUUCAACUAUGGAGGAAUCAGGAUCAACACCAGCUUCCGUUAACUCAAAUGCAUUGUUGCCACCACUACAUCCUCCUCCAAGAUCUUCUAACGCCUCUACUGAAGUUAGUUCAGUUGCAAAAGUACCAACUGCUGGU